AUGCCGACAGGCGGGCGGGGAGGCCCGGGGGAGGGCAGGGAGCGGCCCCGCCGCCACCAUGGCUGUUAUUUGUUUCCGGUAGCACCACAGCACGCUCGGGAGCCGCUUCCCAAGGCGGGACCGGGGCUCCCCCCCCACAACCCCCCCCCCCACACAACCCCAGCCCCACUCACUCGCCAGCCGCGGGCCGUCCAGCCCCCCGCCGCCUCCUCCUCCUCCUCCUCCUCCACCGUUGCUGCUUCCUCCACCUCCUCCUCCUCCUCCUCCGCCGCCUCCCGCCCCCAGCUCGGCUUUCUUAGGCCCCACCACCGCCACCGCCGCCGCCGCCGGGCCCGGGCUGGCCCCGUGAGGCGAGUACCCGGGCCCGGCGCUGGCCGCCGGGGGGAUGCCGAGGGGGAGCCCGCUGAUUGGAGGAGCAGCAGCGGCGGCAGCGGCGGCGCCGGGCUCCUCAUGCAGGAACUGGCACUCCUCGCCGUAGAAGCAGGUCUUGUCCUUGGCGUAGUAGCGGCAGAACUUGAGCUUCACGGCCCCGCUGGUGCUGCUGUUCACACCGCCACCACCGGUCCCCGCCGCCACCGGCCCCACCACCGGCGAGGGCGAGGAGCAGGGCAGGCCGCUGCUGUUCAUGGCACCCGCCCCGCCGCCGGGGUCGGCACCAUGGGGAAGGAGGGAGGGAGGGAGGGAGAGGAGAGGGGAGAGGGGCGGGGAGAAAAAAAGGGGCGCGGGGAACCGCCGGCACCCCGGGCUGCGGCUCGGAGGAGGAGGAGGAGGAGGAAAAGGGAGGAGGAGGAGGGUGAGGGGGCGGGGGGAGCCUCCGGUGGCUCCGCUCCUCUCAGCGCGGCCGGGGGCGGCGGCGGCUGCUGGGCGGCCGCGGGUUGUUUAUGCCAUUUUCCUCUUCCUUCAGCGGCCGCGCCUGCGCCGGAGCGGGGCAUGCCGGGUAGCGCCCGGCCGGUUGCCCUCAGCGGCUCCGAGUUCUCCGUUUAUUUAUUUUUAUAUUUUUUUUUCCUCAAAGUGCCGUCGUCCGAGUGUUGUACGCACGCUGGGGGGGAGCAGCUGUCAAGUUUGGGAAAUAAAGUUGUUCGGUGUGGGGGUGAGAGCGCGUUGUUGUCCUUUCGUUGUGUCCUCUCUCGAAGUAAAAAGUCAAUCUGCCUCCAGAGUCUGUGUGAGAAUAGAAAUAAUAAGUGA
rnacentral:lncRNA from 1 species